GACACAAUCUCAUCGGCCGGUCGGGAGGAAUCCCGGUGAGGAGAAAUCCGAGUCCGGAGCGGUCCCGCCACUGUGAGCGCUGAUGCGCGAGCCAGGUCGUCCCUGCCGGCAGCCUCCGCCGAACC
rnacentral:sRNA from 21 species